rnacentral:rRNA from 1 species
CACGUAGGGGGCGAGCGUUGUCCGGUUUUAUUGGGCGUAAAGAGCUCGUAGGCGGCUCCGUAAGUGAGGUGUGAAAACUCCAGGCUCAACCUGGAGACGCCACCUCAUACUGCGGUGGCUAGAGUCCGGUAGGGGAGCAUGGAAUUCCCGGUGUAGUGGUGAAAUGCGUAGAUAUCGGGAGGAACACCAGUGGCGAAGGCGACUUCCUGGCCUGUUCUUGACGCUGAGGCGCGAAAGCUAGGGUAGCAAACGGG